rnacentral:lncRNA from 1 species
AUAUAUAUAUAUAUAUAUAUAUACAUACACAUAUAUAUUUAUUUACUUUGUGAACACGAGAGAGUUACCAUCUCUCCAGUAUCACCCAUUGUACAAUAUUAAAAUUUUCACAACUAGGAUUUGAACCACCAAUCUCACAAUACUACCAGCCUACCCUUCUUACUUACUUUGCUUUGAUAGUUUAAAGUCAUUGUACACAACGAGAAGUAAGAAACAAACCUACACAAAAUAAUCUUUUCUCUAUGAGGGAAGGGGACAUGGAAAAUAAGGAACAUCCUUCACCCUGUUUGUGAAGGAUCGUCAAACAAUCCCAGAAUCGAGACGAGAUCUCAUCUACUUACACCCGAACUCCAGCUUUUUCCACAGCAAUCGCGGGCACAAUUACUACAACAAUUAUAAUAAUCCCUCAGUCAUUAGUGUAAUCCUCGGAGGAUUCACUAAACCUCCUAAUCGGAGAUCUGCGAGGAAUAAAAAACAAGGCCCCAAGAUCCCAGUCCGCAGCACAGACUAUCUCCUCGUCACCUGCAAAUCAGGAUUCCGGGGCUGCAAAACUUCCAGUCCAGAGAAGAGCAAAUCUGUCGCGGUUCCCAAGUGGCGAAAAGCGAGGUUUAAAGGCUAGAAAACGUCACAAUAGCAAGAGUCCAGUUGGGAUUAUGAUCUAGGACUUAAGGGCUGCUCCUGCUGCUGCAAGGGUCUGGAAGCCUGGAGCCUGGAGCCUGUGUUUCUUCAAAACGGUUACGGUGUAAGCCACUGGCAGUGAGCUCCGCCAUGCCUGUGUGUGUGUGUGUGUGUGUGAGAGAGAGAGAGAGAGAGAGAUACACAUUAAACUUGGAUGCCUAUGCAUGUGAUUAAUCUAAGCUAGAUUAACUAGCAGAGAGUUCUGCCCAGCUGGGUACACUGGAGAGAGAUUACUGCAGCUGCUUAAGGACGGUGCACCUACUAAUACCCCUUCUGAUUCAAAACGCUCACAUGCCCAAAAGGCGGCUGCAGGGAUAAUACUCCCUCAUUAAAACACAUUCAUUCCUCGACUGCUGCGUUGCCACAGCGUGAUGAAGAGUUACGAUUGCAUUUAUGAUGAACUGGGCAGUGAUUGCAUCCCCCUGUUGCGAAUGGAAUCUAGCAGCUUUUGGGUUGG